rnacentral:rRNA from 1 species
GAUGAACGCUAGCGGCAGGCUUAAUACAUGCAAGUCGAGGGGCAGCAUGACUGUAGCAAUACAGUUGAUGGCGACCGGCAAACGGGUGCGGAACACGUACAGAACCUUCCUUCGAGCGGGGAAUAGCCCAGAGAAAUUUGGAUUAAUACCCCAUAGUAUAUUAGAGUGGCAUCACUUUGAUAUUAAAGAUUUAUCACUUGAAGAUGGCUGUGCGGCUGAUUAGGUAGUUGGCGGGGUAACGGCCCACCAAGCCUUCGAUCAGUAACUGGUGUGAGAGCACGACCAGUCACACGGGCACUGAGACACGGGCCCGACUCCUACGGGAGGCAGCAGUAAGGAAUAUUGGUCAAUGGACGAAAGUCUGAACCAGCCAUGCCGCGUGGAGGAUGAAAGUCCUCUGGAUUGUAAACUUCUUUUAUAUGGGACGAAAAAAGGGUUUCUAACUCGUCUGACGGUACCAUAUGAAUAAGCACCGGCUAACUCCGUGCCAGCA